rnacentral:lncRNA from 1 species
AAUGGAUAAACAAGAUCCUACUGUACAGCACAAGGAACUAUAUUCAAUAUCCUGUGAUACACCAUAACGGAAAAGAAUAUGAAAAAGAAUGGAUGUACAUAUAACUGAAUCAAUUUGCUGUAAAGUAGAAAUGAAAACAACAUUGCAUAUCAACUGUACUUCAAUGAUUUUUUUUUUUCUUAAGAAGAAAACAAUGGUCCUGAGACUGCCAUACUGAAGAGCUCAAUGUAGCCAUUCUGGUCAACAGUCCAGCUGAGUUCCAGACAAUAGUCUGCUUUGACUGCCAGCCCUGUGAGUGCACUGUCUUGGACAGCCAGUCCCCUGGAGCCCUCAGAUGACUACGGCAGUAACCAACAUCUGACUGCAAUCUCGUGAGAAACCCUCGGCCAGAACUGCCCAGCUAAGAGUUUACAAAUUCCUGAUACACCAAACUGUGAGCAAAAUAAAGCAAUCAUUUGAAGCUGCUAAAUGUGGGGAGAGCUGGUUAUGCAGCAAUAGUAACCUGAGCACCAUAGGAGAGAGAACAAUCACUGAGUUUCCAAGACACAUGGUGCCUGGUGCCGCCCCUCCCAUCGUGGACACAAGGAUUUGAUGGCUGAAACCUGGAGGGAGAGACCCCAGUGUGGGAAGGAAGCCCCUGGGUCCCACAGAAGGUCCAGAAGGUGGAUAAACCUCUAAGAUAAUAGCAUGAAAUUUGCCAUAAUGAUAUCAUCAGCAGGUCAGAUGGGACACAAGCGUCUGUGGAUUUACUUUCAACUCCACUGCCACAUAUUAGUGGAGACUCCAGGAGUGGAUGAAUUUUUUGCAGAUGAGGCUCCUUCUCCUUGUCUCAACUUCUCUUCCAACUAAAGACUCCCAUAAAACACGCUAUCUGCAGAAUUCUCAGGAGGGAAGAGAAGGAGUUGAGCCAUAACCUCCUAACCUCUGCGGCACACCCUCGGCCAGCAACCUCAUUCUCCUUCUGGCAUUUGGAGGGCUCUGUGGAUCCCUUGCCCUCAGAAAUGCUAUCAACAUAAUGAAAGUUGAGAUGAAAAUUAAUCAUUUGCUGAGCUUCCUCCUGCAUCUGUUUUAAAACCUUCUGAGGGUGAGAGGAAUCUGUAGAACUUUGGAAGGCUGUGCUGGGAUUCCCACUGACUGUACUGGGACAUCUGAGGUGAUCCAUUCGAAGCAGUUAUUAGGAAGAAAUGAGAUGACACUGUUUCUCAGCAUUUGAGAUCAAGAACCUCAGAUUGGAACAGGUAUUGUCCCUGAUUUCUCAUAGUUGUCU